rnacentral:rRNA from 1 species
CCUACGGGAGGCAGCAGUGAGGAAUAUUGGUCAAUGGACGAAAGUCUGAACCAGCCAAGUAGCGUGAAGGAUGACUGCCCUAUGGGUUGUAAACUUCUUUUAUAAAGGAAUAAAACGAGGCACGUGUGCCUUUUUGCAUGUACUUUAUUAAUAAGGAUCGGCUAACUCCGUGCCAGCAGCCGCGGUAAUACGGAGGGUCCGAGCGUUAUCCGGAUUUAUUGGGUUUAAAGGGAGCGUAGAUGGGUUGUUAAGUCAGUUGUGAAAGUUUGCGGCUCAACCGUCAAAUUGCAAUUGAUACUGGCAGUCUUGAGUACAGUUGAGGUAGGCGGAAUUCGUGGUGUAGCGGUGAAAUGCUUAGAUAUCACGAAGAACACCGAUUGCGAAGGCAGCUUACUAAACUGUGACUGACAUUGAUGCUCGAAAGCGUGGGUAGCAAACAGGAUUAGAUACCCUAGUAGUC